UGCCAGCCGCCGCGGUAAUACGGAGGGGGUUAGCGUUGUUCGGAAUUACUGGGCGUAAAGCGCACGUAGGCGGAUUGGAAAGUUGGGGGUGAAAUCCCGGGGCUCAACCCCGGAACUGCCUUUAAAACUGUUAGUCUUGAGAUCGAGAGAGGUGAGUGGAAUUCCAAGUGUAGAGGUGAAAUUCGUAGAUAUUUGGAGGAACACCAGUGGCGAAGGCGGCUCACUGGCUCGAUACUGACGCUGAGGUACGAAAGCUAAGGUAGCAAACGGGAUUAGAUA
rnacentral:rRNA from 1 species